ACAGACAGACAGAUAUACACACAUAUACAUAUAUAUAUAGAUAGAUAGAUAGAUAGAUAGAUAGAUAGAUAAAUCAUGGCCCCUUUCUACAAUCAAGCCAUUCUCAGAUUCUUGGCUGUGUGACGUCACACAGGCCAAGGAACCUUUCACGACUGUUGAUUGACACUACAUUGGCAUCAGCAUUGGCCCACCCUGAGAGAGCUAUAGACAGUCCGCCUUUGUUUCACUGCCAGAGCAGGUGUGGGCAAAAAUGUCUCAUAAGCGAUUGAGGUGCUUUGUUGUUAAAUGUAAUAAUGAAAAUAGAAGUCGUGAUUUACUCCAGACAUCUGAGUCGCUGAAAAUGCAGUGGAUUAUCUUUGUUUUUGAAGGGAAUGCGCCCUAAUCUACUUAAAUGUGUCUAUGUUCAUGGGAAUCAUUUGUGAUCCAGCCUCACCUACAGAAGAAGUUCGCACAGAGCUAUCACCACCAUCCCAAGGGUCAACUGAACCUAUGCAGUUGGGUGGUCCUCGGAUCUAUCUGUAGGAACGUGACCGCAGCAUGGAACAGCGGUAAACAUGUUUUGGGUUUGCUCAAGGCACAACAAGCACUCUUGCAUCGACUUGGUAAACAAACAUUGUUUUUAGGUUUGGCCUUGGCUUAUAUAGGCCAAUCCCAUCCCCUUUUUUAGGCCAUCCCCUUCCAGCUUCACUUUACUUGACUUGCACAGUGUUUAUCAUCUAGUAUGCAUUAGACACUGGGAUGAGUGUAAGACUGCAUUUAACACUCCCACUGGGCACUACGAGUACCUAGUAAGGCCCUUUGUCCUCACAAAUGCUCCCAGCAGUCUUCCAGGCUCUGAUAAAUUAUGUUCUUAAGGACAUGCUCAGUCAGUUUGUAUUCGUCUACCUGGAUGAUAUAUCUUUUCAAGUUCCCCAGGUGAGCAAGUGGAGCAUAUGAAGAAGGUGCCAAGUCAUCUCCUCGAAUAUAACUUUUUAUGUGAAACCUGAGAAGUGUGAAUUUCAUGUGACCCAAGUACAGUUCCUGGGAUAGUAAUUACACCUGGCCACAUACAGAUGGAUCCCCAGAAAGUUUAGGCAGUCAUGGAUUGGCCCACUCCCUCAUCUGUGAAGGAGGUGGAGUGAUUUCUUGGUUUAGUCAACUUUUAGUCUGCCUUUAGUGAACUCAAACGCCACUUUACUUCAGCACCCAUUUUCACUGUCCCGGAC
ensembl:lncRNA